rfam:Populus trichocarpa isolate Nisqually-1 chromosome 2, whole genome shotgun sequence.
UAGUUUAUCUGGAGCAAAUUUUUAUUUAGUUAUAGUAGAUCUACAAUCGACUACUCAUAAAUUGUAAGUUUGACUAUAUCAAUGAUAUUGAAAAAUAAAAGACAAUUAUUGUGUAAACAAUAAUUUUUUAA